UUUCCGUAGGUGAACCUGCGGAAGGAUCAUUCAUAACAAGUGUUUUAUGGCACUUUUUAAAUCCAUAUCCACCUUGUGUGCAAUGUCAGUCGUUCUCUUCUAUGGGAAUGACCAAACAUCAACCAACUCUUUAACUCUUUGUCUGAAAAAUACUACGAAUAAAAUAAUUCAAAAUACAACUUUCAACAACGGAUCUCUUGGCUCUC
rnacentral:misc_RNA from 1 species